rnacentral:rRNA from 1 species
GCUUGUCUCAAAGAUUAAGCCACGCGUGUCUCGGUAUAGGUUCUUGUACGGCGAAAUUGCGAAUGGCUGAUUAAAGCAGGUACAGUUUAUUUGAAGGUCGUUCUUUACAUGGACAACUGUUGUAAUUCUAGGGCUAAUGCACCCGCGCCCGACUUUGUGGAAGGGUUGUGUUGAUUUGUUUGAGAACCAGCCCCGGUACUGCUUGGUCUUGUGGUGAUUCAUAAUAACUGAACGAAUCUCAUGGCAUCAGUUGGCGAUGAAUCGUUCAAGUUUAUGACCUAUCAACUUCUGACGGUACGGCAUUUGCCUACCGUGGCAAUGACGAGUGACGGGGAAUUAGGGCUCGAUUCCGCAGGUGGGCCUGAUAAACGCUUACCACAUGUAAGGAAGGCAGCAGG